rnacentral:rRNA from 1 species
UACAGAGGUCUCAAGCGUUGUUCGGAUUCAUUGGGCGUAAAGGGUGCGUAGGCGGCGCGGUAAGUCGGGUGUGAAAUCUCGGAGCUUAACUCCGAAACUGCAUUCGAUACUGCCGUGCUUGAGGACUGGAGAGGAGACUGGAAUUUACGGUGUAGCGGUGAAAUGCGCAGAUAUUAGGAAGAACACCGGUGGCGAAGGCAACUCUCUGGAACUGUACUGACGCUGAUACACGAAAUCGUGGGGAGCAAACAGG